GCAUGGUUUGUCGUCAGCUCGUGUCGUGAGAUGUUGGGUUAAGUCCCGCAACGAGCGCAACCCUUGUGAUUAGUUGCUACGCAAGAGCACUCUAAUCAGACUGCCGUUGACAAAAACGGAGGAAGGUGGGGACGACGUCAAAUCAUCAUGCCCUUUAUGACCUGGGCUACACACGUACUACAAUGAUCGUUAACAGAGGGACGCAAGACCGCGAGGUGGAGCAAACCCUAAAAACGGUCUCAGUUCGGAUCGCAGGCUGCAACCCGCCUGCGUGAAGUUGGAAUUGCUAGUAAUCGCGGAUCAGAAUGCCGCGGUGAAUACGUUCCCGGGCCUUGUACACACCGCCCGUCACACCAUGGGAGCCGGUAAUACCCGAAGUCAGUAGUCUAACCGCAAGGAGGACGCUGCCGAAGGUAGGAUUGGCGACUGGGGUGAAGUCGUAACAAGGUAGCCGUAUCGGAAGGUGCGGCUGGAUCACCUCCUUUAUG
rnacentral:rRNA from 1 species